AGUGAACGCUGGCGGUAGGCCUAACACAUGCAAGUCGAACGGCAGCACAGUAAGAGCUUGCUCUUACGGGUGGCGAGUGGCGGACGGGUGAGGAAUACAUCGGAAUCUACUUUUUCGUGGGGGAUAACGUAGGGAAACUUACGCUAAUACCGCAUACGACCUAAGGGUGAAAGCAGGGGAUCUUCGGACCUUGCGCGAUUGAAUGAGCCGAUGUCGGAUUAGCUAGUUGGCGGGGUAAAGGCCCACCAAGGCGACGAUCCGUAGCUGGUCUGAGAGGAUGAUCAGCCACACUGUAACUGAGACACGGGCCAGACUCCUACGGGAGGCAGCAGUGGGGAAUAUUGGACAAUGGGCGCAAGCCUGAUCCAGCCAUACCGCGUGGGUGAAGAAGGCCUUCGGGUUGUAAAGCCCUUUUGUUGGGAAAGAAAAGCAGCAGGUUAAUACCCCGCUGUUCUGACGGUACCCAAAGAAUAAGCACCGGCUAACUUCGC
rnacentral:rRNA from 1 species